rnacentral:rRNA from 1 species
UUAGUGGCUAACGGGUGAGUAACACGUGGGCAAUCUGCCCUGCACUCUGGGACAAGCCCUGGAAACGGGGUCUAAUACCGGAUACGACCACCGGCCGCAUGGUCGUGGUGGUGGAAAGCUCCGGCGGUGCAGGAUGAGCCCGCGGCCUAUCAGCUUGUUGGUGGGGUGAUGGCCUACCAAGGCGACGACGGGUAGCCGGCCUGAGAGGGCGACCGGCCACACUGGGACUGAGACACGGCCCAGACUCCUACGGGAGGCAGCAGUGGGGAAUAUUGCACAAUGGGCGAAAGCCUGAUGCAG